rnacentral:rRNA from 1 species
GACGAACGCUGGCGGCGUGCUUAACACAUGCAAGUCGAACGGAAAGGCCCCCACCUUGGUGGGGGUGCUCGAGUGGCGAACGGGUGAGUAACACGUGGGUGAUCUGCCCUGUACUUCGGGAUAAGCUUGGGAAACUGGGUCUAAUACCGGAUAGGACCAUGGUUUAGUGUCUCAUGGUGGAAAAAUUAUUGUUUUGGUGCAGGAUGAGCUCGCGGCCUAUCAGCUUGUUGGUGGGGUAAUGGCCUACCAAGGCGUCGACGGGUAGCCGGCCUGAGAGGGUGGACGGCCACAUUGUGACUGAGAUACGGCCCAGACUCCUACGGGAGGCAGCAGUGGGGGAUAUUGCACAAUGGGAGCUAGCCUGAUGCAGCGACGCCGCGUGGAGGAUGACGGCCUUCGGGUUGUAAACUCCUUUCGUUAGGGACGAAGCCACACCUUUUUGGGUGUGGUGACGGUACCUUUGUUAAGAAGCACCGGCUAACUACGUG